AUGGCGGGGCCUCAUGGCUGGGGUGUCUGGAGACAGGAGGAGGUCCCUGCAGGAUUGGCAUUUUUAUCUGCUUGCUGGGGUAGGCUGCUGAAGCUGCCGCUGAUGCUCCAGUCUGGGGACCCGGCUUGGAGAAACGCCGGCUUCUGGCAGAAGGUUCCAGUGCCUUACCCCAUGCUGAACUCUCCCCCUUAUCUGGCCCCCAUUUGCUUUUCCAAACCAGAUGGUCUCCAACUCAUGAAUCCUUUAUUUCAGUCAAAUGGAGUGCUCCCUGGCCUUUGUACUUGCCCCAUACGUGUCGAUUCUGGCCGGCCGGCCUGCCUUCUUUCCUUCCUCCCUCCUCUCUCCCUUCCCCCUCCCUCCUUCCUCCCUUCCUUCCUUCCUUCCUUCCUUCCUUCCUUCCUUCCUUCCUUCCUUCCUUCCUUCCUUCCUCCUCCCUCCCUCCCUCCCCUCCUCCCUCCUCCCUCCCUUCCUUCCUCUCUCCCUUCCUUUCUCCUCCCUCCCCCUCCGUCCCUCCCUCCCUUCCUUCCUCUCUCCCUCCCCUCCCUCCCUCCCUUCCUUCCUCUCUCCCUCCCCUCCCUCCCUUCCUUCCUUCCUUCCUUCCUUCCUUCCUUCCUUCCUUCCUUCCUUCCUUCCUUCCUUCCUUCCUUCCUUCCUUCCUUCCUUCCUUCCUUCCUUCCUGUGCUCAAAUCCCACCUUCAAAGACUGAAACAUCACCCUGAUGCCUAUCUUUGUUAUCCUUGUCCUGAGCCGCUGGAGUCUAGCAUCCCAGCAGCAGUGCUGCCUCCAGUCUGGUGCCCCACCUCCCUCCCUCUGCUGGGAGGAGCACCUCUGGGUGGAAAUCCAGCACCACAUGUGCUCCUCUGCUCAGGCUCCUCCAGGGGCUGCCUUGGCCAUAGGCAGUGUUUGCCAUCCUGGGGGAGUGUGUGUGUGUGUGUGUGUGUGUGUGUGUGCGCGCACAUACCCGUACAGGAUGGGAGGGGUAAGGGACGUCUUGUUGGACCCAAAUGCACAAACAUCAUACAGUGUCUCUCAGGGAUUGAGAUGAAUGGUCAUGAGAAUUAUAAAAAAUUCUAA
rnacentral:lncRNA from 1 species